rnacentral:rRNA from 1 species
GACGAACGCUGGCGGCGUGCUUAACACAUGCAAGUCGAGCGGUAAGGCCCUUUCGGGGGUACACGAGCGGCGAACGGGUGGGUAACACGUGGGUGACCUGCCCUCAGCUCUGGGAUAAGCCCGGGAAACUGGGUCUAAUACCGGAUAUGACUCCAUGACGCAUGUUGUGGGGUGGAAAGCCUUGUGCGGCUGGAGAUGGGCCCGCGGCCUAUCAGCUUGUUGGUGGGGUGAUGGCCACCAAGGCGACGACGGGUAGCCGGCCUGAGAGGGCGACCGGCCACACUGGGACUGAGACACGGCCCAGACUCCUACGGGAGGCAGCAGUGGGGAAUCUUGCGCAAUGGGCGAAAGCCUGACGCAGCGACGCCGCGUGAGGGAUGACGGCCUGUGU